rnacentral:misc_RNA from 1 species
AAGUCGUAACAAGGUUUCCGUAGGUGAACCUGCGGAAGUAUCAUUAAUGAUUUUAUUUUUCUAUGUUGGGAAAUUGUCUGCUGUUGUGGGGAUAUUUUUUAUCCCCGCGCUAGUCAACGUGAUCUUUAUUCUAGUCUGACUUUUAUAUAAAUAAUAAAAGACAACUUUUAGCAACGGAUCUCUUGGCUCUC